rnacentral:rRNA from 1 species
CUCGUAGGCGGUCUGUUGCGUCCGCUGUGAAAACCCAGGGCUUAACCCUGGGCUUGCAGUGGAUACGGGCAGACUAGAGGCAGGUAGGGGAGAAUGGAAUUCCCGGUGUAGCGGUGAAAUGCGCAGAUAUCGGGAGGAACACCGGUGGCGAAGGCGGUUCUCUGGGCCUGACCUGACGCUGAGGAGCGAAAGCGUGGGGAGCGAACAGGAUUAGAUACCCUGGUAGUCCACGCCGUAAACGUUGGGCGCUAGGUGUGGGGUCCUUCCACGGAUUCCGUGCCGCAGCUAACGCAUUAAGCGCCCCGCCUGGGGAGUACGGCCGCAAGGCUAAA